rnacentral:lncRNA from 1 species
AUUUAUCUACUGCUUGUGAAAUCUCUGGAUUUAACUCUGAUGAAAGACCGGAGGCUGAAGGAGAACUUCACUAUCAUAUAUUUUAAAGGUUGACUCACAGUUUGGAGCACGAAUUAAAGAACCACGAACUUCAAGUCUGGAUGAAGUGCUUCAUGCCUGUAAUCCAAGCACUUUGAGAGGCUGAGGUGGGUGGAUGGCUUGAGCCCAGGAGUUUGAGACCAGCCUGGAAAACAUAGGGAAACCCUGUCUCAAUAUAAGAAGAAGAAGAAAAAGAAAAAAAAAAAUCAAAAACGAAAACAACACAAAUUUUAGAGUGAUGUAAAAUUCUCAAACAAUGAGAUAGAUAAAAAGUACGCAGCCAAAAAGUGCAGGAAGAAGUGUUAUGGAGAUGGAGCAGGCCCUUCGUAAAAACACGAUGUUGGUUUUCUGGAUUUUGGAGGCCUCACAAAACCUGGAUCAGACUCGCCCGCUGCCCUGUGUCUGCCCUCCCGACCCCCUCUCCUGCCCAGCAGGGAUGUGGGUGGCAGUGGUGCUGUGUGGAGGGUGGCGGGAGGACCGGGAAGACUGCGACCAGUGAGCCGGGAGGCCUUGGGACAGCCUCUCUCUGAAUCAUCCUGUGCACUACCGGGUGUGACAGAGGCUCCUAGAAUCCUGCCUCAAGUGGCCGCCUUCACAGAGGGAGUCACUGAUAUCCCUGCUCAGCGCAGCCCUGGCAUGUGGUGGUCCCUCUACUCAUGAGAAACCCCCA